CCUACGGGGGGCAGCAGUGAGGAAUAUUGGUCAAUGGGCGAGAGCCUGAACCAGCCAAGUCGCGUGAGGGAGUACUGCCCUAUGGGUUGUAAACCUCUUUUGUCGGGGAGCAAAAGCCGGACGUGUCCGGCUGUGAGAGUACCCGAAGAAAAAGCAUCGGCUAACUCCGUGCCAGCAGCCGCGGUAAUACGGAGGAUGCGAGCGUUAUCCGGAUUUAUUGGGUUUAAAGGGGGCGCAGGCGGAUUUUUAAGUCAGCGGUAAAAUCGAGGGGCUCAACCCCAUCCAGCCGUUGAAACUGGGGAUCUAGAGUGUGCGAGAGGUAUGCGGAAUGCGUGGUGUAGCGGUGAAAUGCAUAGAUAUCACGCAGAACCCCGAUUGCGAAGGCAGCAUACCGGUGCACAACUGACGCUCAGGCACGAAAGCGUGGGUAUCGAACAGGAUUAGAUACCCGGGUAGUC
rnacentral:rRNA from 1 species